rnacentral:rRNA from 1 species
UACGUAGGGUGCGAGCGUUGCCCGGAUUUAUUGGGCGUAAAGAGCGUGUAGGCGGCCAGGUAGGUCUGGUGUGAAAACUCGAGGCUUAACCUCGAGAUGUCAUCGGAAACCAUCUGGCUAGAGUCCGGAAGAGGAGAGUGGAGUUCCUGGUGUAGCGGUGAAAUGCGCAGAUAUCAGGAAGAACACCAAUGGCGAAAGCAGCUCUCUGGGACGGUACUGACGCUGAGACGCGAAAGCGUGGGGAGCGAACAGG